UGGGGAAUCUUGGACAAUGGGCGCAAGCCUGAUCCAGCCAUGCCGCGUGAGUGAAGAAGGCCUUCGGGUUGUAAAGCUCUUUUACCAGGGACGAUAAUGACGGUACCUGGAGAAUAAGCCCCGGCAAACUUCGUGCCAGCAGCCGCGGUAAUACGAAGGGGGCUAGCGUUGUUCGGAAUUACUGGGCGUAAAGCGCACGUAGGCGGAUUGUUAAGUCAGAGGUGAAAUCCCGGUUAGCUCAACUUCGGAACUGCCUUUGAUACUGGCAAUCUCGAGUCCGGAAGAGGUUAGUGGAAUUCCCAGUGUAGAGGUGAAAUUCGUAGAUAUUGGGAAGAACACCAGUGGCGAAGGCGGCUAACUGGUCCGGUACUGACGCUGAGGUGCGAAAGCGUGGGGAGCAAACAGGAUUAGAUACCCAAGUAGUCCCU
rnacentral:rRNA from 1 species